rnacentral:rRNA from 1 species
GACGAACGCUGGCGGCGUGCCUAAUACAUGCAAGUAGGACGCAGUUGCGAACGGGUGAGUAACGCGUCGGUAACUGCCUAUUAGAGGGGGAUAACUAUUGGAAACGAUAGCUAAUACCGCAUACUAGUAGAUGGACCUGCGUUGUAUUAGCUAGUAGGUAGGGUAAUGGCCUACCUAGGGGACUAUACAUAGCCGACCUGUGAGGGGGAUCGGCCACACUGGGACUGAGACACGGCCCAGACUCCUACGGGAGGCAGCAGUAGGGAAUCUUCGGCAAGUGGGGGAACCCUGACCGAGCAACGCCGCGUGAGUGAAGAAGGUGUUCGGAUCGUAAAGCUCUGUUGUUAAGGAAGCGGUACUUAACCAGAAAGGGACGGCUAACUACGUGCCAGCCGCCGCGGUAAUUC